AGAGUUUGAUCAUGGCUCAGAGUGAACGCUGGCGGCGUGCUUAACACAUGCAAGUCGAACGAGAACGGUCCUAGCUUGCUAGGAUGUCAGCUAAGUGGCGGACGGGUGAGUAAUGUAUAGUUAAUUUGCCCCUUAGAGAGGGAUAACAGUUAGAAAUGACUGCUAAUACCUCAUACUCCUUCUACCUUAAUGGUAGUUGGGAAAUGUUUUUUCGCUAAGGGAUGAGACUAUAUGGUAUCAGGUAGUUGGUAGGGUAAGAGCCUACCAAGCCUAUGACGCCUAGCUGGUCUGAGAGGAUGAUCAGCCACACUGGAACUGAGACACGGUCCAGACUCCUACGGGAGGCAGCAGUGGGGAAUAUUGCACAAUGGAGGAAACUCUGAUGCAGCAACGCCGCGUGGAGGAUGACACAUUUCGGUGCGUAAACUCCUUUUAUAUGGGAAGAUAAAGACG
rnacentral:rRNA from 1 species